GUCCCAUCACUGUUACCUGGGUGGAGGCUGAUUCCCACCUUCCCACAAUCUCCUUUCAGGUAGAUGUAGAAGACAGUAAGGUCAUCCCUGAGCCUCCUCUUCUCCAGACUAAACAACCCCAGCUCACUCAUCUGCUCCUCAAAAGAUUUGUGCUCCAGAUCCCUCACAGCUUCAUUGCCCUUCUCUGGACACAUUCCAGGGCCUCAGUGUCUUUCUUGAUGGCUGAGGCUGGCAGGGCCCUCUGUGUCCUUUUGGCCCAACCCCUCAUCACCUAGAGCCACAGAGCAGGGUGCCCAGGCCCGCAGCCAGGCAGCUUUUGGAGGCCUCCAGGGAGGAGAAUCCACAGCCUCUGGGCAGCCUAUGCCACUACUCCGGCAACCACACAGCACAGAAGUGCUGCAUGGUGUUCAGAAGGAACUCUGAACUGAACUGUGUUCCAGUUUGUGCCCGCUGCUGCUUGUUCUGGCACUUAGCACUCCUGAAGGGAGCCUGGCUCCAUUCUCUUGGCAUCAUCCCUUCAGGUAUUUACUGACAUUGAUGAGAUCCCCCUUAAUCUCCUCUUCUCCAGCCUGAACAGCUUCAGCCCUCUCAGCCUCUUCUCACUAGAGAGGUACUUGGUGACCCUCCAUUGGCCUGUUUCCAGUAUGCCCAGGUCUCUCUUCUACUGGGGUCCCAGUAGUUCUCCAGAUUCAGCGUUAACAGCACUGAGAAGAGGGGGAAGGAUCACCUCCCUCAAUCUGCUGCUUUACCUACUGCAGGCAAGAAUACUUUAGCCUUCUUUGUGGCAAGGGUACAGUGCUGACUUGUGUCCAGAGUGGUCUCCACCACAACCACAGGUCCUUCCUUGCAGAGCUGCUUUCCAGCUGGGUGGUCCCAGCAUGUCCUGGUUCCAGGAACUUCUCCUGUCUGGAUGCAGGACUCUGCACUUCUCCUUAUUGAACUCCAUGAGAUUCCUGUCAUCCCACUCCAGACCGUUGGGGUCCCUAUGGAUGACUGCUUAAUCUGGUGAGUAAAGAUGCUGGGACUCAGUUCCACAUGCAGAAUUCCUGCAUAGUACUGUUAAACCACUUCCUUUCUCGGUAUUUCACUUCCUCAUUUGUAAUGGGAGUACAACCGAGCUCAGCUAUCUUGCAGGAAGUGGUGGGAGUUAGUAAGUUAA
ensembl:lncRNA